GCCCAGAGCUCGCCAUUGGGCCUCGCUCCCGGGGUCCCGCGCGCCGGCCGUGCUGAUUGGCCGCUGGGGCUUCAUUCACGGCCCCCCUGCCGUCCGCGUACACACUCACGCCCCGGGGGCGCGGCCGCCACGUGGGGAGUGGCGCGGGGGUGGCACUGGGACCGCACCCCCUCUCGUCCUGGCUGCGUGGGCCCAGCUUUCCCCCCUCGCUGGAGACUCCGAGCCCGGCGGGUCCCACACUCCACGCGAGCUGAAUUCCCGCCCGUCUUUGGCAGGGGCGGCCGGAGGCGGCGGCGAGGAUGGCGGGCUCCGGGAGGCGCUCGGGCUCCGAGAAGCCGCUCAGCCCCGCGCUCCUCCCUCCGCAGUGCCGCUGCAGGCGGGCCGGGAUUCCGCGGGUCUCGGGAGGCUGCGAGCGAGCGGCGGCGCGGGUCCCCAGCUCGGUUCCAGAGCGGCUGCUCGCCUGGGCCGCCUCGCCUCCCGCAGCUUCCAGCGGGCACGGAGCUCUCCUCCGCGCGCCUCUCCGGCCCGUCUCGUUUUCCCCCUCCUUCCGCUAGACCCAGUGCCGCAACUCCGCCGACCUCCGCGGCCCUGAGAGCGCGUCGGCCGCGGGCAGAGUCAGACCCGCUUCACGCCUCGCGCAGGCUCCCCUUCUCCCGGGCACCGCGGCGCAGGUGCACCUGAGCCCACCCCUGGGAGCUUCUGAUUCUGGCGGCCUCUCUUUGUGGCACAGCUGUGUCCUCCCCUGGUCCACAUCCUGGAGAGGGGGUUGCACUCAAGAGAAACAAGAAGAGAGAGAAGGCUUCUGCUCAUCCCUUCUGUGGAAGUCCCGGUGACCAUGGGGUGAGGAUCCCAACUCCCAUGUCAAGAUGGGCUGCGGUGGAGACGGGAGACCCGAGCUUUGGCACUCGACGGUGAGGAAAACCGAGACGCAGAAAAGCGAAGUGACUUGCCCAAAGUUGCACAGACAAGUGGUACUGCUUAUAUUUGAACUCGGGGAGUCUGAUUCCAGACCUUACAGUGCCCAAGGGCCGGUGCCUCAAGGGCCUGGAACCUGAUGACACUGAAUCUUCUCAGGAGAUGCUACGAGCUGGGGACCACAGAGCAACAGAUGAGGGACAAUCAUGGUGUCAUUGAGCGUUUGAAAAACUUGUGCUGGCUAUAAGACAUUGGUUAAGAGCGCCCUGGUGACAUACGGACCACGUCUAUCAUGGGGCUGUAGCCGUGGGCCCUCUAGGACCCAUUCGACUGACCUCAUCUCUUAUCAACAGAGUGAUUAAGAAUUGUCUUUCAGAAAAACUGCAAAGUCACGUAGCCAGGGCAUGUGCAAAAGAAGAAAUCGUGGUCUGAAAUGACAUCCAGACCAAAGAUUGUCCUUCCCACAGAACCCAAGGACUGGACACGACCGGAACUUGAAAGUUGGACUCUUAGCCCUCCUUCAGGAAGAGCCGGUGUUUAAAUUCCUUCCCCAUCCUGUCAUAAACGUUGAAAACCUUACCCUAAAUGCUUGAAGCCCACUGAUCAAAACCUGUCCCACCAGCGUUUCCGUGUGCCAGCCGGUUCUCCCUAACCUCUUAAAUUUCACCCCAAAUCCUGAAUCUGGGAGACAGAUCUGAGGGCGCGAGCUCCCUGCCUUCCUGCAGACUGAUCUCGCAGAAUAAAAGCUGAUUUCUCCCCCGAAGGCUGAUGCAUAAUUAAUUAGCUUGUUUAUGUGCAUCAGGCAGAGAACCCCAAUUCUGUGAGGUAACAGGGCCACCCUGUUUACCCAACACAAGUUCUGGUGACUGAGCAGGU
rnacentral:lncRNA from 1 species